AAGUGAUCCGCCUGCCCUGGCCUCCCAAAGUGCUGGGAUUACAGAUGUGAGCCACCACGCCCAGCCAUGCUCGAUGAUUCUUGACGGGCCCUGGAUCCAGCUGACAGCCACCCGGGAGCCGCACCACGGGGAAUGCUGCGUAGGUUCUCAAGUGCACAUCUCACAGCUUCGCUGACAGGACAGCAAAGGACCAGAGAGAGGAAGUAACUCACCCAAGGCCCUUCAGGUGACUGGUGCACAGCCUGGGCAGAAGCCAAGUUUCCUGAUUCUGAGGCCAUUCAGGGUUGACCUCGCCCCCAAAUCAUCAGUUCUGGAAACUGAAAGUCCAAGAUCACAGCUCCAGCAGAACCAGUGUCUGGUGGGGACCCUUCCUGGUUCAUGGACAACUGUCUUCUUGCUGUGUCCUCACGAUUAAAAGAGUGAGAAAUAUCUCUGAGGCCUAUUUAAUAAGGACACUAAUCCCAUUCCUGAGAGUUCAUCCCUCAUGACCUCAUCACCCCCCCAAGCCCCACUUCCUAACACCAUCGCCUCAGAGGUGAGGAUUUCAACAUAUGAAUUUUGGGGGGACAAAAACAUUGAGUCUUUAGUGCAACCCCACCCUACUUUAGCAUUU
rnacentral:lncRNA from 1 species